UCACCUUCUAGGGUGACAGUCACCAUGAGCUAGGGUUUGGUCCUCAGCUAUGUAGCUCCUGGCCCUCAGUUUAGUCAAGGCCCUUAGAAGGGUACUGGGGGCUGGAAGGAGGACUGAGUCAGCCAGCAAACUCCUGGAGACUUGCAGAAACAACGCACCAUGCUGGUGUUCCCACAGAGAACGACCCACCUGCAGCCAGGCACCCCUUCCCUGAAAGCAGCAGAUGGUGGGCAGAGGGUCCAAGCUCAGGGUGACAAGUGGUUGCCACCUCAAGUCCUCCAUGGAGCAUGGCGGGGUAAAAGCCAACCAGUAACAACAGGGCCCGAUGGUUUCGAGGGCUGUGGGGUAUAAACUGCCAGAGUUUGAGGAUCGGCCCCAGGCACAGACCUGCACCUGGCCAGGGUACGCGCUGGGCGCUCACUCCCAACUCCCUGGGGUUACGAGAUGGGUACGUGUGGCUGCUUCCCUGAACCCCAGCUCCAGCCUCUCUGCCCCUCGGCAAAGUCUAGAUGGAUUAUGAUGCAAUCCAUUAUGUUUUAGCUCAGCCAGAGCAUUUCAAUUGAUUAUGAUGUUGUUAACCCCAGCCAUUUUGCUGUAAUUGAUCCCUAUGGGCCUUUGUCAAUUGCUUCAGCCACACUAUAGAUGCAAAGCCAAAAGGUGCAGUGACCUGGAGCCCUAGUCUGCAAGGCCAAACGGUCACCCUUACUGCUAAAGCUAUCCUGAGCACAGCCUGCAGAAUGACCCAUCUUCCACAGGCGGCCCUGAGUUACCAGACGAAGAUUAAAUUGUGGUUGGAAUACUUCGGUUAAGGAUAGCAAUGUUUCUGAUAAGAUGCUAAUUUCUCGUGUGUCCCACAUGGGAUGUUUGAUUCAGUUCUGUGAUACUACCUGGGGCCUCUUGCAUGGCUGCUUACAUCAGUUUCAAACGCUAAUGGUGAAGUUUGGCACACAUCUGUUUCACAUCUGGCUUCCCGAUGCAACGCCUGCCUUGUGCUGCCUGCUUUGAGGUCAGAACAUAAUUGUGGUGGGUACCCCCAAGUGGGUGAGAAAAGGGCACUUCUGAGUGGACGAAGCCCUCGCCACGGACAUAUCAAGAUGGUGUGGGUGUAUCUUGGGGCAAUGAGAAGGAUGAAACUGAAAAAAGGGCAGAAACCAUGGCCCUGGAACCCAGCAGCAUCUCCCUGUGGCCAAGGCAGCAUCUCCCAAGCCGGGGUGCCUGGAGUCCCGCUACAGCACAGUGAGAUGACUUCUUUCUGGGGAGCUCACUUCAGCCUGCAGGCAGUCCGGAAGCCGAGUACCAUGGGAUCAGAGAGGAUGUUUCCAUCGCCCAUUCCAUUCCAGAGACCCCAUGUAUCAGAAGCAGCUGUGAAUCCUGAGAGUUGAAAAUUCCCUCCCAGACGAAUGAGGGGUGUUGAGGAAGUAGCCGCUUGUCAGCCAUCAUCAGUGACAGACACUUCACCCUGAACUACAGCAGGGCCCCGGGCAUGCCUGGGACCUCAGGGGGCCCAGGCCACUGUCAUCAGGGGAGAGUUGGCUCUGAGCUGACUCCAAGGAACCCCCACCCCACCUCGACCUUCUCUCCUCCUCUGAACCCCACCCCAUACCUGGCACACACACCUGUCCCCGCACCUGUCUCCAGCUCUCACGGGCAUCAACUUGACGUUAACUAUGAUGGCGCCGCUCUCGUUGAUGGCUCAAGUAGUUGGUUCCAAACACUGACUCUGAUCUGGCUGCUGUCCUGUGGCCAGCUCCAACUCUCCCCACCCCCAGGACCUUAGCCUAAUGGAGGAAGCCUAUGAAUUCCAGGUGACCUCAUUACUACCUGGGGAUGUUGGGCAAAGGAAUGCUCUUCUGUGCACCCAAUGUCUUCCUCCCUCAAAUGUACCUUGGUGCCUCAUCUCUCACUCACACUGAUGAGACGCUCUUUGCCAGGCUGCAGGACAAGAUGGAGCUUGGCACUACGGAGGGCAGACGGACCAGUGAGGAUAGAGGCUAUUGGCAGAAGGACAUAUCUCCAGCUACGUGGAGAUGGUGGGGAUGGUGGGGACAGAGAGGGCAGAGAUACUGGCUGGUGCCUGGAAGCAGGAUGCUCUCAGGUUGGCCCUGUCCCCACCUGCCUGCCUUGGGCUCUGUGUUUCCUAGGGCUAGUGCUUGCUUUGACCCCCCCCCCCCCCGCUUGGGGCCAGAUCCUUCAUCAGGGCUCCUUGGGCCAACAUAGUGCUCACACUGCCCUGUGAGCCAGCACCAUGCUCUCCAAACUCCAGCUGGUGCCCUUGGGGACAUCUUGUUGUGAGCCCAGGCACCAGCCCAGCCAGGGCUUCAAGGGGCCUGGACUGGUACCUCAUCCCUGCUGGGCCUCUGUCCCCCAGGCUCCAGGCUCCCCCAGGGGGAAUGGGACAGCCUUCACCUGCCAGCCAAUUCUUGCCCCACACUUAACCUUCCAGCCACAUCCUUCCCAUAAAACAAGGCCGCCAACACUAGGAACGUGUGGAAAAUCACACCAUCCCAGCUAAGUUGUUACAAUGAUGAUGUCACCCAGGCUCUGUCUGUGUGGCUGCUGGGGACACUGCCUUCAAGUCUUGGCCUGCAAUAUGCAGAAGCAGCUCAGCUGGGGGCAUGGCGGCCUCUGCACCCAGAAACCCAAGCCCCUGCAGGCACAGCCAAGCCUCAGCGAGGGCUCCCUGACCAACACUGUGCUCCCCGGGAUGGCCUUCGCCUUGGACUCCAAAGGCAUGGGUGGUGGCCCUGAGCUUGAGGCUUAUGUUUUGGUCAGCUGGCUCAGUAUUUUACCCAAAUUGGAAUUGGUUGCCCACAUUUAACUACUGGCAGCAUUUAAAAUCAAACCUGGGGGGCACCUGGGUAGCUCAGUCGGUUAAGCGUCUGACUCUUGAUUUCUGCUCAGGUCAUGAUCUCACAGUUCGUGAGUUCAAGCCCCUCAACGUGCUCUGUGCUGACAGCCUGGAGCCUGCUUGGGACUCUCUUUCUCUCUCUCUCUGCCCCUCCCCUGCUUGCUCUCUCUCUCUCUCUCUCUCAAAAUAAAGUAACUUAAAAAAAAAGAUCAAACCUAGAUUUUCAGUGCCACCUCCGUCAUUGUUGUACCUGUCACUCUCCUAUCCCUUACCCCCUCCCCCAUCACUGCACCCUCUAGCCCUACAUGGUUGUUUUGCAUUAAUCCCCCCACACCCCUACAUCCUUAAUCCCUGGGCUCCCGCUGUUUAUGUCCCUGCAUCCCUACACCUGCUUUCCUCAACAUGGCAUCCCUCCUCCCUCCAUCUCUCAGACCUGCAUUCUGUAUCCCUUAGCUGUGCAACCCCACAGCUCAAAUUCUGCCUCCCAGCUUUGUUCAUGCCCUCGUCCCCAAUCCCUGCUUCCUGCAUGACCCUUGCGGCUCCUACAUCCCCUCCCUCCUGCACCCUUGAGUCCUUCAUCCCUGGAUCCCUCCAUUCCUGCAUCCCUCCCUCCCAUCUCACAUCCCCACCUUCCACCUCUUCCUCUUUCUCCUCCUCUUCAUCCGUGGGCUUCUCCACUCAUUAGGCCUUCCUCAGCUCCUCCAUGGAGGACACAGGUAUUGUAGGUGCUCUUUGGGGACCCUUUCCUGCAUCCUGUGGCACAUA